rnacentral:lncRNA from 1 species
UGGAAAUGCAGUCUACAGUGUGAAAAUGACAACUUCUUAUUCUGGUUUGCCCUUGGAAUAUCUCUGUUUAUGGCAUUAAACAGUUUGUCUCUUUCAGAGCUUCCUUCUAUUCUCUCUGGCCUCUAAAUGUUGGAGUAUCCAAGAGCUUGGUCCUUCGUCAUCUCCUCUUCAUCUAUAAUCCCUCACUACUGACUUCAUUUGGCCUUAUGGUACAAAAUACUGUCUACGUUCUGAUGAUUCCCAAAUAUUUAUCUUCACCACAUCUCCUCUGAGCUCCAGAGAAGGAUGUACCUGAUGGCCCUACUUGAACAUUUUAUAGGAAUCCUAAACUAUUGUAUUAGUUAGGGUUCUCUAGAGGGACAGAACUGAUAGGAUAGAUGUAUAUAUGAAGGGGAGUUUAUUAAGGAGUAUUGACUCACACUAUCACAAGGUGAAGUCCUGCAAUAGGCCGUCUGCAAGCUGAGGAGCCAGGAAGGCAGUCCAAGUCCCAAAACCUCAAAAGCAGGGAAGGCGACAGUGCAGCCUUAGGUCUGUAGCCAAAGGCCCGAGAGCUCCUGGCAAACCACUAAUAUUAGUCCAAGAGUCCAAAAGCUGAAGAACUUGGAGUCCAAUGCUCCAGGUCAGGAAGCAUCCAGCACAGGAGAAAGAUGGAGGCUGAAAGACUUAGUGUAGUCUUUCCAUCUUUCUCUUCUGCCUGCUUUUAUCCUAGCCAUGCUGGCAGCUGAUUAGAUCGUGCCCACCCACAUUGAGGGUGGGUCUGCCUCUCCCAGUCCACUGACUCAAAUGUUAAUCUCCUUUGGCAACAUCCUCAUAGACAUACCCAGGAACAAUACUUUGCAUCCUUCAAUCCAGUCAAGUUGACACUCAGUAUUAACCAUCAUAACUAUCUAUGUCCUAGAUCAAACACACUAUCUCCGCUUCUCAUGCUUCUUUUCAUGCACCCCAGUCAGCUUCUCUCUCAGUCUUUCUUCCUCAUGUCAGCAAAUGGUACCAUCCAACUCACAGCUGCACAGUGGGAAGACCCAAGAAUCAACCCUGAUUCUUCUCUUCUUCUCAUGCUUACAUAUAAUUGAUUUGCAAAGCCCACAGACAUGAACUCUAACAUACAUCUCAAAUCAGAUAUCUUUUCACCACAUCCACUCUUAGUGCCUAUAGUCCAAGCCACUUUUCUGCAGUAACCUCCUAAUCAGCCUCCUGUAUAUCCACCUCUGCCUCUGCCUUCCACAGAGAAGUCCAAGAGAUGCUUUGCUCCUCAGGGUUUCUCUACUUCAGCACUGUUGACAUUCUAGACUGGACAGUCCUUUGUUGGAGGUGGAGGCUGUGCCCACAUUGUAGUAUAUUUGGUGGCAUCCCUGGCCUCUACCCACUAGAUGCCAGUGACAAGUUCCAACUUGUGACAACCAUAAUUUCCCUAGACAUUGCUAAAUGUCCCCUGGGGGCAAAAUCACUCCAAGAUGAGAACAACUACUAAAGGUUUUCCUUCACAUUCUGAUAAAAUCCCAGUUCUUUUUGAACCUGCAAGCUUUAAUAUGACCCUAUCACAUCUCCCAUCAUUCUUCCAGUGUUCGGUCUGCUUUAGGACACUGGCCUCCUUAUUUUUCUGGGAACCAGAGAUAUUUCCCUUUUCCUGGCCUUGUGCUUGUUCCUUCAUCUGCCUUAAGUGACUUUCCCCCAAAUCAGCUCAUAGUUUACUCUCUCAUUUCACUGGUCUCUGUUAAAAUGCCAUGGAGACAGAAAAGUCUCCCCUGUAUAAAAUACCUUUCAUUUUUAAUCAUUCUCCCUUUAUCCUGCUUUAUUCUAUUUAGGUAAUUGUUCCUAUUUGAUAUUUUAUUAUUUAAAUAUCUUUUUAUUAUUUGGCUUUCUAAAUAUGUCAGCUCCAUAGAACAUGUGACCUUCUUCAUGCCUACCCAACAAUAACCCAGAACCUGGUAUCUUAUUUAUAAGUAAGUAAUUGUAAUAAUAAGUAAGUAAUGGUUGAAUAAAUUGGUGGUUAAAAUAAUUUUAAAAAUUUCAAAGUAUUUUCUUCACUGUGUAAAUGAAAGUGAGAAAUAUAUAGAAACUCAUUCUUGUAUCUACUUCAGAGGUAGACAGACAACAAAUAUUUUUUAUAUUAACAAUCCCAGAAGGAAGAACUGAGAAAAAAAUAUUGUUUUCAAACCAUGACUCAGAGAAUAGUCCAUAAUUAUAAAUCAGCUCUCCUUACCCCUAGGCUAAUUCUAAUGCCAAACUAUUCUGCAAGUCUAUAUUUUCUGAUCAUAAAAUUGCAUUUCAGUAGGGUGUUUUAUGUAAUUACAAAUGCUUAUAUUUCUGGCAAAUUCAAUAAAAGUAGAUAAGAGGUAGGUUUGCAAACAAAGGUCAUAACAGCAUUUUAUUUUACUAGUCUAUUACUGACAAAAAUUUUCUAUGACAACUUAUCAAAACUUCUAGCAUAUUAUAUUGCUUCCAAAUAUAGUUAUGAUAAACCGCCAAAAGCUAUUUAGCAUAGACAUUUCUUCCUGUUUAUCAAAUAAUUAAGAUAGUUGGUGACUUAAGCGCAUUUAAAAAUGUGAUACAUAAAAUUGUAUAAAAAUUAGUUUCAUCAAAUAGCUGUAAAUGAUAAGCAUGCUGUCCUACUCAUGCUUCUGAAAUUAAUUUGUAAUUUUACUUCUUCAUUAAAAUUGUAUUAUUUUUCCAAUCAAA